rnacentral:rRNA from 1 species
GGUUGCGAUCAUACCAGCACUAAUGCACCGGAUCACAUCAGAACUCCGCAGUUAAGCGUGCUUGGGCGAGAGUAGUACUAGGAUGGGUGACCCCCUGGGAAGUCCUCGUGUUGCAACCC